rnacentral:tRNA from 1 species
GGUGAGGUGUCCGAGUGGCUGAAGGAGCACGCCUGGAAAGUGUGUAUACGCGAAAGUGUAUCGGCAGCGAAUCUAUCCCUCCCUCACCGCCA